UGCGCAUGAGGUUAGAAAAUCUGCUAGGCUAACACCGGAUAGCGAAAGCUUGAGUAGGAGAUGAAGGGUUCGCACAGUCCUUCCAUGCGCU
rnacentral:ncRNA from 1 species